rnacentral:rRNA from 1 species
UACAGAGGUCUCAAGCGUUGUUCGGAUUCAUUGGGCGUAAAGGGUGUGUAGGUGGCGCGCUAAGUCGGGUGUGAAAUUUCGGAGCUUAACUCCGAAACUGCAUUCGAUACUGGCGUGCCUGAGGACUGGAGAGGAGACUGGAAUUCAUGGUGUAGCAGUGAAAUGCGUAGAGAUCAUGAGGAAGACCAGUGGCGAAGGCGGGUCUCUGGACAGUUCCUGACACUGAGACACGAAGGCCAGGGGAGCAAACGGG